GAUGAACGCUGGCGGCGUGCCUAAUACAUGCAAGUAGAACGCUGAAGGAAGGAGCUUGCUCUUCCCGGAUGAGUUGCGAACGGGUGAGUAACGCGUAGGUAACCUGCCUGUUAGCGGGGGAUAACUAUUGGAAACGAUAGCUAAUACCGCAUAACAGUAGAUGUUGCAUGAUAUCUACUUAAAAGGUGCAAUUGCACCACUACCAGAUGGACCUGCGUUGUAUUAGCUAGUUGGUGAGGUAACGGCUCACCAAGGCGACGGUACAUAGCCGACCUGAGAGGGUGAUCGGCCACACUGGGACUGAGACACGGGCCAGAAUCCUACGGGAGGCAGCAGUAGGGAAUCUUCGGCAAUGGGCGGAAGGCUGACCGAGCAACGCCGCGUGAGUGAAGAAGGUUUUCGGAUCGUAAAGCUCUGUUGUAAGGGAAGAACGAGUGUGAGAGUGGAAAGUGCACACUGUGACGGUAUCUUACCAGAAAGGGACGGCUAACUACGUG
rnacentral:rRNA from 1 species